ensembl:piRNA 21ur-702 ncRNA
UAAUAAAAACUUCGACAGGAA